UGGAGAUUUGCUAUGUUAAUUAUGCUCAAAAUACAUAUAAGCAUUAUUAUUGGAGAUUUGCUUUAAAAAAAAAGGAAAAAAGCAUUAUUAUGGCAGCUACAUAUCAUCCCCACCACAAAACCAAUUAUGUAAUUGGUCUAAAUCCCAAAGAGGGUCAUUACCUAGAGAAGCCAUUGGCAUGCUGCUUCCUUCCCCAGUUUGAUUGAAACAGCCAUGGUCUCCUGAGGAUGAACUCUCAGGUGAGCUUCUUGUCUCCACCAUUGCAGGGUUUGGAUGAGUGCUUGCUCUUGCCCUCCCAUCACUCUGACUUUUCUGAGCCCUUCUCUGGCCUAUCUCCACUCCAAUUGGUCGUCUAUCGAAUGAUCGUAAGCAUUUUGAUUUCUUGUACACCCGACA
rnacentral:misc_RNA from 1 species